GUGGCGGCUGGGGGCUGCGAGAAAGCUCAGGAGAAGACAGCAACUUCUGGGUUCCCAUGGCCCACAAGAGCUCGGCUCCUGCUCGAGACCCGGGAAGGAAAACAGAAAGUUGCUUCCCAUCCAAGAAUUUCCAAAUCUGCCGGAUGAUCAGUAGCCCUUGGUUAGAAACCAAGACCCCAGGUUCCCAGGGUCUGCUGCUGCCUUAGCAGCAGGGUUUGCUGCUGCCUUAGCAAAUCAAAAUCUCCGCGGCGAGGAUCCGGAGUCUGCAUUUAACCAGACAGCUGGGAUUUCGAUAAGGAUUGCCUCCAAUCUGGAAAUCAGUUGGCACAGGGAUUGUCCAGUGGAACCUUCUGGGACACUCCAGUCCUGGGCAGUUCCUAUAGCUGCUGUCAGCUGUACUUUCCUUCCCCAAGAGACUUGGACAACUUGAGUGAUGGGAGACGGCGUGGUGACAAUAACGGACAUGGAAAUUGCCAGGUAAGACUUUGUUGCUCAAGUAACAGUCUAAGGUGGGUCAGGUUUAGGGUGAGGUGUAGGGUGCUCUGCAUCACAGUCAUUCAAGGAUCUAAGUUGCUGGCAGGUAUCGACAUCCAGUGGCACAUAAAGGCUCACACACAGUCCAGGGCUUAGAAGUGCUACAGGUCACUUCCCAUUCAAAUUCCAAUGGCCAGAAUUCAGGAAUACGACCAUACCUACGUACAUGAGGGCUGGGAAAUGUAGUCUAAUUCUGUGCACAGCAUAAAGAAGAAAUGGUUUUGGAGAUCCCCUGCCAGCCUCUGCCACAAGAAAUUUGCAACAAUGGGAGAUUUAGAGUGAAAUGUAUAUAAUGCCUCCCUAGCCCUUCUGAGACAGGCAUGGUCCUUUGGGGCAGACUUCCCUGAGAGGCAGCUUUCUAGCUAUGAUUCCUUGGACUUGUUAAUAGUGUUUGGUUCACGUUACAGCUGAUGUUCUAGCAAGAUCAUGCAUGGAGUAUCCAGCAUCAAGUAAGUGCAAAGCUGACUGACACUUCUCAUUAUAAAUUAGCAAGUUGGUUUGGGCAUAAAUCAGUCUUGAGUGUACUUAGUGUGACCCUGUUGCUCAUAGUUAAGCUGAUCAUCAUCGCUGUGUAUGUGCUGAUCAGAAAUGUCAAGCUCAUGACUAUGGAGGUAAAAGCAACCUUGAGAUUAUUCUAACUCUCUACCUGCUUCCCAUUAAACAAGAAAUUCAGCAUUACAAAUGGUAAACAAAUUGAGUGUGUAGCAUUAAAUAUUCAAUGCCAGAAGGCUCAUUUAAAAUAAUUUGUGUAAUUUAUCGUCUCACACCAAAACCCAUGAUACAAUUACUUUUGGUGCCUUUUAAUCUGAUUCUUUAUGGCAAGUAGUAGAUCUAUGACUAUAGGGCAGUAAUCCUUUCCUAUUUCACCUUGUCAAUAUUUUAGAGGAAACGAGCUGGAAGAAUUGUUGAAAGAGGGCACCUAGCGGAUGAGGCAAAGCCCUACAGAUAGAGUGUCUAGAAAAGUCCUAGUUAACACCCAUUGCUGUGACAUAGUCACUAAAAACACCCCCUUUCACUCUCAAAAAGAGUCCCGGUUUGGACAAUAAAUUAUACAUAAACCCUUAGAACCAGGGAGUAGUACCUCUCUGUGGCCACCACUGUUCAGGGUCUGGUUUGCAGCUUUACAGAACCAGCACAAGGGUUAUCAGGACACUGAGGCUGAUUGAGCAUGGGAGCGAGCCGAUUCACAUCGAGGAAAUGACAGGAGACUGAUCCCUAAACCAGGAUGCUGUGUUUUUAACUUAUUACGAAGAAUAUAACUGCCAGAGUGGAAACCAAUGUUCGUUUGUCAGUACGUUCCCUCCCUUGAAGUGUAUAGUCUCCUUGGAAAGCUCAGAACUCUUGGAAUUAUCAAAAUCAUAAUUCUUGUGGAUGAGGAGAUCAAGGUGAGCCAUGUUAGCUGGAGGAACUACAGUAAUUGGCAAGACAGGUUUUAAUACUUGGUAUCUACACAAAGCAUAUCCUGUGUCCUACUAAGGGUUUUCCUUUGCAACCAGGAAAGCGGCUUGGGUUCUCUUUCCAAAGAGAUAUUUGGGAUCAGCAUCAGCUACAGGUAAAGAAGAAGGAUGUGUGGUUCCAAGCAAUCCUCUGUUCUUUUCUAAUAUUAUGUCCCAAGUUCCCUCACCCAUCUACAAGGGCUGUCAGGGCCGAUGUCAGUGGCAGACAUCCUCUGAUGCCUGAGGUUCAGCCGGGAGCAGCCUCCCCGACUCCUUCCUCGCUUGCAACACUGGAAGUGACAGAUCUAAACAGUCUUGCGUGUACUUAGUGUGAAUCCUGCACCACUCCCCAUCUCAUGCCCCACUUCCCCAUAGACAACAGACACAUGGCCAGAAGAGGAUUAAAAUCGGCUUUAUUGAUGAAUUGAAGAGCACAGCUGGGAUCUGAGGCCCAAGCGAGGCUUCUUUCAUCCUCUCUGAAGUGGUGACAGCUGAGGGCAGUGGGUGGGGCUCACCAAACUUACCCACCCUGCCACAGACCGAGGCUGGAACGUGGAGAGCUGAGUCCUGGGUGGGCCCACCACAGGCAGGUCCUGCUGGGUCUGUUUACGGCAUGGAGACUGGAAGCCCAAAAGCAGGUCCAAGAGAAAGAGAGAGAGAGAGAGAGAGAAGCAGGAGGACAAGUAAGCAGGGUCCUUUAGCACAUUAUCUCCACCCAGUAGAGAAAGGCGGCCCCAAGAGUCUCAAGUUCAUCAGCCACAACCAUCCCGAGGUCACCCAGGUGGAAGCUUCUCCCCAGUCCUUUCCUUCCAAGCUGAAAUGUAGUUAGGAGAGCUUUACCCUAAUCGGCUGAGCAAGGAGUGUAUGAAUAAGGAAAAGGGUUUCUCCCACGAGGUGAGGCUGGGUUAGGAGCCUGGGCUGCUCAGUGAACAAGUGGCCAAAGGCCAUUUUGUGUGAGCCUCCCAGUGUGCAGCCACUAACACAAACAGGUGCUGGCUCGGGACUGACUCCUGAUACCUCACACCUGAACACUGACCACUGGAUUCCUUUUCUUUCCUGUGCUCUGGAGCUCAGACCCCUGAGGACUGCUGAGGAAGAACUUGACAGACUUCGCCCACCCGCCAACCCCCGGAUGGGUGAAAUGGAUGAAGGCGAUCAAAAGCUCACUGGACAGAUGUCUGAAAGAAAAAUUGCUUGGUCAAAAGGAAGAACAACUAACAACCAUUCACGGACAAGACAUCACUGAGAAAAUCCUAAAACAUGGAAGUGAGGCUGAAGUACCCUCUUGUACCACAGAGACCAAGACAGACUGCAUUGGGAGGAUUCCAUAAGGAGGCAAGAACGUACAAUGGAGAAAAGACAGCCUCUUCAAUAAGUGGUGCUGGGAAAACUGGACAGCUACAUGGAAAAGAAUGAAAUUAGAACACUUCCUAACACCAUACACAAAAAAUAGACUCCAAAUGUAUUAAAGACCUAAAUGUAAGACCAGACACUAUAAAACUCUUAGAGGAAAACACUUUUUGACAUAAACCACAGCUAUAAUUUUUAAAACCUGAACAUAACAAGUGUUGGUUAAGGGUGAGGAGAAACUGGAACCCUUGAACAUUGCUGAUAGGAUUUUAAAAUGGUUCAGCUGCUAUAGAAAACAGUUUGGCAGUUCCUCAAGUCAAACAGAGUUACCAUACGAUCCAGCACUUCUACUCCAAGGUAUAUACUCCAAAGAAUUAAAAACAAGUCCUCAGACAAAUACUUGUACAAAAAUGUUCAAAGCAGCAGUAAUCCAAUAGUAAAAAGUUGGAAACAACCCAAACAUCCAUAAACGGAUGACUAGAUAAAAUGUGGUUUAUCCAUAUAAUAAUAUUAUUCAAUCAUUAUAGACAUGAUACAACAUGGAUGAAUGUCAAAAACAUGCUGAGUGGAAGUAGACAGACACAGAAGCUUACAUAACAUAUAAUUCCAUUUAUCUCCAUAUGAAAUAUCCAGAACAGGUAAAUUCAUAGAGACAGGAAGCAUACUGGUGGUUGCCAGGGGCUGAGGGAGGAAAUGAAUGGGGAGUGUCUGCUUAACGGGUACCAGGUUUCCUUUUAGGGUGAUGAAAAUGUUUUGGAACUAGAGAGAGGUGUUAGUUGCAAAGCUGUGAAUGUACUAAAUGGUACUAUAUUUUUCAUGUUAAAA